CUACGGGGGGCACCAGUGAGGAAUAUUGCACAAUGGGGGGAGCCCUGAUGCAGCAACGCCGCGUGGAGGAUGACGCAUUUCGGUGUGUAAACUCCUUUUAUAUGUCAAGAAAAUGACGGUAGCAUAUGAAUAAGCACCGGCUAACUCCGUGCCAGCAGCCGCGGUAAUACGGAGGGUGCAAGCGUUACUCGGAAUCACUGGGCGUAAAGGACGCGUAGGCGGGUUGGAAAGUCAGGUGUGAAAUCCUACAGCUUAACUGUAGAACUGCACUUGAAACUUCUAAUCUAGAGUAUGGGAGGGGGAGAUGGAAUUAGUGGUGUAGGGGUAAAAUCCGUAGAUAUCACUAGGAAUACCUAAAGCGAAGGCGAUCUCCUAGAACAUUACUGACGCUAAGGCGUGAAAGCGUGGGGAGCAAACAGGAUUAGAUACCCUAGUAGUC
rnacentral:rRNA from 1 species